GGUUCGGUAAGGGCUGCGUCCAGUUCGGUCCGUCAGCCAGCGAAGCGUUCCUGCCGUUUGUUUCUGCUCCCAUUAUCCUUGAGUGUUCGAGAAAGCAGAACUCACACCAGCAGGUGGCCCACAGCAUCACAGGUUUGGGUAAUGUGACUCGGAAGUCGUCCUCGCAAUCAGUGCCUGCCAGACUCGCGGCUUUGCAGUUUAACACUCAACGCUCGGUGUGUUCCGCUCGAAAAGGUUUACGAAAAAAAGGAAAAGAAACCCGUUCCCUGUGCUACCUUGGAAGCCGGUUCUGUGUAAGCAGCUUCCACCGCUUGCGGCAGUGAUUAAAUGUGGUGUCAAUCGUUGACGUUCGUGCAGGGCUUACAGUGAAACGAUUGUCGCUGCCACGGCCACUCGAUGGCUGAGCGACGUAGAAAGUGGGUCCUUCAUGUGCCACCACAGCGCGACACCAGUAUGUCAUAAAAGCGGAGGCUCAGUGUUCGCGUGCCAGCGUUGUGCAUGCUUUUUCUCAACGGCGAUCCGCGUUCGGCGAAAAAUUGAACCAUUUCCCCCGUGUGCGACCGUGACAAAUCCUUCCGCUUUUCCGGCCCUUCGACCCCAUUUCGUGUGCUGAACAAGUGCUGAACGUGUAAGAGGUUGGUUAGGAACGGCGGAGUGACUACCGGGACGUUUGGUAGCACGUUGCCACACGCACCGUCGGCACCCGUCGACCCUCGCUGUCGGUCGGCCGCACCAAUUCAAUCCUGUGUCUGUACAGGCUAUCGGCGGUUUGGUUGCUGAA